GGGGGGGGCAAGCGUUGUUCGGAAUUACUGGGCGUAAAGGGCUCGUAGGCGGCCAACUAAGUCGGACGUGAAAUCCCCAGGCUCAACCUGGGAACUGCGUCCGAUACUGGAUGGCUUGAAUUCGGGAGAGGGAUGCAGAAUUCCAGGUGUAGCGGUGAAAUGCGUAGAUAUCUGGAGGAAUACCGGUGGCGAAGGCGGCAUCCUGGACCGAGAUUGACGCUGAUGUGCGAAAGCCAGGGGAGCAAACGGGAUUAGAUACCCCGGUAGUCCUGGCCCUAAACGAUGAAUGCUUGGUGUGACGGGUAUCGAUCCCUGUCGUGCCGAAGCUAACGCAUUAAGCAUUCCGCCUGGGGAGUACGGUCGCAAGGCUGAA
rnacentral:rRNA from 1 species